rnacentral:lncRNA from 1 species
CAGACCCAGUGUUCCCCACACCUCAACACAGUAAGACAGACUACAGACCCAGUGUUCCCCACACCUCAACACAGUAAGACAGACCCAGUGUUCCCCACACCUCAACACAGACUACAGACCCAGUGUUCCCCACACCUCAACACAGUAAGACAGACUACAGACCCAGUGUUCCCCACACCUCAACACAGUAAGACAGACUACAGACCCAGUGUUCCCCACACCUCAACACAGACUACAGACCCAGUGAUCCCCACACCUCAACAGACUACAGACCCAGUGUUCCCCACACCUCAACACAGACUACAGACCCAGUGUUCCCCACACCUCAACACAGACUACAGACCCAGUGUUCCCCACACCUCAACACAGUAAGACAGACCCAGUGUUCCCCACACCUCAACACAGACUACAGACCCAGUGUUCCCCACACCUCAACACAGUAUGACAGACUACAGACCCAGUGUUCCCCACACCUCAACACAGUAAGACAGACUACAGACCCAGUGUUCCCCACACCUCAACACAGACUACAGACCCAGUGAUCCCCACACCUCAACAGACUACAGACCCAGUGUUCCCCACACCUCAACACAGACUACAGACCCAGUGUUCCCCACACCUCAACACAGACUACAGACCCAGUGUUCCCCACACCUCAGUAAGACAUGUACACUGACCUUCACCCUCCUCAGGAUCCCAGUGAAAACCAACAGCCUCCUUCUGGAUACAAAGCAAUCCAUCUUUAUUAAAACGUUUCAACUUGUUAGGAUGAAGAGAGAUGACAGGUGAUGAGACGUUCGUGCUCCAGCUUCGACUAGUGGAAAGUCAUGUUGUAUGUUUGAGAAGGGUGAUUCCCCGCUGCUUCCCUGCUGGUUAAUACCUAUAUGUACAACGUUACCACAGUCUUCCUCAGCUUCCUCCUACACAAUACUACAACCAAAGAGCACCACUGGUGAAAAUAUUUACAGACAGACAAUGUACAUUUUAGGUGUUUUUCCUUUAUGCCAUCUUUUUUAAAACAUUAAAGCAUUUGAAACUCUGUAGGUGAAAGUAGCCUCUCAGUGUGUAUCGUUGUCCUCGUCCCGUUCUACAGCACAACAGCCCCGAGUCACACAGCUGAGAGGACAGAUCCACAGACCCACUGGCUCUGACCUGUCAGGAAACUGACCUGGAGUCAGGGUGCGCAUCACAAAUACCACCUUAUUCCCUAUAUAGUGCACUAGUUUUGACCAGAGCUUUUGGCCAUAGGUCUCUGGUCAACAGUAAUCACCUACAUAAUGAAUAGGUUGCUAUUUGGGAUACACCCUUAGUCAGACCUGACCAGCUACAGGAGGUACUAAGGAAGUGACAACAACAACAACAACACCACCACAGUAAAACAAGAUGGAGGAAUCUGACCACAGAACAGAUAUUAUGUGAAGACACUGUGAAAGAGUCGUACCAGAAUGCUGCCUUUUGAAAAAAUAAACAUGUUGCCUUUGAAUAGUAUCCUGCCUGAUUCAGAACUAGCCUUUCACCCAGGGUAUAACAUCAAUCAACAGGUGAAUCAGAACUAGCCUUUCAUCCCAGGGUAUAACAUCAAUCAACAGGUGAAUCAGAACUAGCCUUUCAUCCCAGGGUAUAACAGGUGAAUCAGAACUAGCCUUUCAUCCCAGGGUAUAACAUCAAUCAACAGGUGAUUCAGAACUAUCCUUUCAUCCCAGGGUAUAUCAUCAAUCAACAGGUGAUUCAGAACUAGCCUUUCAUCCCAGGGUUUAUCAUCAAUCAACAGGUGAAUCAGAAGUUGCAGUCUGUAGUAAAAGUGGUCAACAAGACAAGAGGAAGAAACCAACCGUUCAUAAAUUCACAGGAAACUAUUAAAAUAAUUAUUUACAAAAUAACCAAUAUACUACAGAAAAAAACCUACUGCACACACCAGUACUUUUGGAGAAAAGAAAAAUAUAACUAUAUUUAAAUUAACUUUCUUCUUUUUUUUAAACAAUAUAAAAGCUAUGCUCAAAAGUGGCUUUUUCUUUUUAUAAAACAGUCCCAGGUCUUUUCAGUGUCCAUGUGAGAUGAGAGUUGCUGCUGGCAACGCGAGAAAAUAAAUACAUAUUUGUCUCGUCUGUCUUCCUUGGCGUGGAAAUAGUGUCUUCCUGGAUAUCAGACCUGUAGAGAGACCAGAGAACAGACUUACUACAGAGAUACUACAGCACCCAGACUUACAAUCAAAACACCACAGCUAGCCUGAAAUACAGACCUGUUUUGUGCUAACAUUCCACUGCUUGUACUCUUGUGUCAUUUGUUUGGCACGACAAGGAGAUAGAUGAAGGUUAACACAAAGAGACUGGUACCCAGGCUAUGUCACAAACAGCAGCAGCUUGGAGAAAUACAGGCUUCCAUACAGUAUAGACGAGCACAGCUCUUAGCCCAGGCUCCAUAUUCAC